ensembl:misc_RNA Metazoa_SRP Metazoan signal recognition particle RNA
GCCGGGUGUGGUGGUGCGCACCUGUAGUCCCAGCUACUUGGAGGCUGAGGCAGGAGAAUGGCAUGAACCCGGGAGGCGGAGCUUGCAGUGAGCCGAGAUCUGGCCACUGCACUCCAGCCUGGGCGACAGAGCCAGACUCCGUCUCAA